rnacentral:rRNA from 1 species
UACGGAAGGGGCUAGCGUUGUUCGGAAUUACUGGGCGUAAAGAGCGCGUAGGCGGAUUGAUCAGUCAGAGGUGAAAGCCCGGGGCUCAACCCCGGAAUUGCCUUUGAUACUGUCAGUCUAGAGUCCGAGAGAGGUGAGUGGAAUUCCUAGUGUAGAGGUGAAAUUCGUAGAUAUUAGGAAGAACACCAGUGGCGAAGGCGGCUCACUGGCUCGGUACUGACGCUGAGGAGCGAAAGCGUGGGGAGCAAACAGG